rnacentral:rRNA from 1 species
AGGACGAACGCUGGCGGCGUGCUUAACACAUGCAAGUCGAGCGGAAAGGCCCUUCGGGGUACUCGAGCGGCGAACGGGUGAGUAACACGUGAGCAACCUGCCCUUAGCUCCGGGAUAGCUCCGGGAAACCGGAAUUAAUACCGGAUAUGACCUAGGCCGACAUCGGCUGUGGGUGGAAAGUUUUUCGGCUGGGGAUGGACUCGCGGCCUAUCAGCUUGUUGGUGGGGUAAUGGCCUACCAAGGCGACGACGGGUAGCCGGCCUGAGAGGGCGACCGGCCACACUGGGACUGAGACACGGCCCAGACUCCUACGGGAGGCAGCAGUGGGGAAUCUUGCGCAAUGGGCGAAAGCCUGACGCAGCGACGCCGCGUGGGGAUGGAAGGCCUUCGGGUUGUAAACCCCUUUCAGCAGGGACGAAGCGAAAGUGACGGUACCUGCAGAAGAAGCGCCGGCUAACUACGUGCCAGCACGCCGC